GCAUUUUGCACUCUAGAGAAGAGCUUUCCCCUUCGGGGGACAAAGUGACAGGUGGUGCAUGGUUGUCGUCAGCUCGUGUCGUGAGAUGUUGGGUUAAGUCCCGCAACGAGCGCAACCCUUAUCUUUAGUUGCCAUCAUUAAGUUGGGCACUCUAGAGAGACUGCCGGUGACAAACCGGAGGAAGGUGGGGAUGACGUCAAAUCAUCAUGCCCCUUAUGAUUUGGGCUACACACGUGCUACAAUGGAUGGUACAAAGGGCAGCAAAACCGCGAGGUCAAGCAAAUCCCAUAAAACCAUUCUCAGUUCGGAUUGUAGUCUGCAACUCGACUACAUGAAGCUGGAAUCGCUAGUAAUCGUAGAUCAGCAUGCUACGGUGAAUACGUUCCCGGGUCUUGUACACACCGUACUA
rnacentral:rRNA from 1 species